ACUCCCCACUCCCAUUCCUCUCCACUACAAACCCUAGGCCAAUCUCCACUACGCUCGCCGCCAGCUCCCACUCCGACGGGAUACUGUGAAAGCUUGGUGCGUCGGAUCAAGGCAGGGAGCCAAGCGGGCCAGGGCGGGGAGGUGUGGCGAUGCGCGGCUCCCGCACACGGUAGAUCGAGGCGGAGGUGGGUCGUCGCCCUCCUCCAAAUCCUGUUGCGCGAUCUCCUCCCCAAUCCCCCACCCGUGCUCUCCCAAUCCCGCUCACUCCUCUCCUCGUCGUCGUCCUCGCCCUCCUUAUCCUUCCCCAAUCAACUCCCGCGUUGCUCGUCUCCUCCUUCGACCUCCAAUCAACUCCCGCGCCCCUUCCAUCUCGCCCUAGAGCAGACGCAGCGGGAUGGCUAAGAAGCCUGCGGCGCGCCGCGGCCUUGGCCACCAGAGACGCGGAGGCAGAAGAGCGGCCGCGCCUGCACACGAUGGCCGCCGAUGAGCGGCGGCUGGCCGGCCUUGGAGAUCUCCUCCGUUUACGUUGAGAAGGAGGAGGAGAUUGUUAUUGCUGCGUCCAACCUCCACGUAUAGAUCUAUUUUUAUGUAUGCUUAGAAGGUGCUUGUUGAAAGUUGUAGCUAAAAUUACUGUAUGUGAAGAGUUGUGCCUGGGUUCUUUGGUGGAGAUGAGGUGGUUGGAGAAGCGUUCUGGCUGGCACUGGUGCUCAAAUCGUUUGGCUGAUUCUCAGCAGAAGGUGAUGCUCAGGGUUCCUACCAUGACAGAGAGACAAGGUGGAAGCUUGAGAACAAAAAUCAUGUUAAGUGAGAUUAUUCUGUCACAUGUGUCAACAGGAACGAAUGGGUGUGAUGGGCAGAACACUUCAGCUCUGAUUGUAAGGAGGGUGUUCCUCUAUCCAUUGGGUUUCCAUUGGUUGCAUAUAUACAACACGCAAAUUUCCAUUUCUUUGGUCAUGUUGCAAGAUUGCAACUCAUCUUUUUAUAGUCCGUCUCAUGCAUGGUCAGGUUUCACAUACAGUUCAUGGAGUUUUUGAUUCAUUUUUGCUCAAGUAAAAAGAUGCCCGUGGCCGCCGGCCACAUCGCGUGAGAGAGGCUUGGUCCGAGGCUCUUCUAGCAUUUCUGAGAAGAAGAUAUGGACCAGCUUCCGUUUGCAGUAACAAGCAUUGAUGAGGAUAGGUCUCUAUUCUUCCCCAACUUAGAAGCUUUCGUUUUCAGUAUGUGGUAUCACAUGUGGUUCCAUGGCACUGAUAGGUAAAACCAAUUUUAUGUCCAAUACAAAUUGGCAUAGAAGAACAUGAUUAGGAGGGCGGAGUUACUGCUUUGGAGUUUGAUAAUUUUAACUUGGCCAAUGCUUAAUUUUGGCCGUGGUUCACAUAGACUGGUUGCUGAAGUUUGUAUACAGACCAUUUUGCAGUUGAGGCUGUUGAUAUUCAUUAGCAAGUAAAAUGCCGAGGAGCACGGGAAAAGGCAAAGCACGACCACAUGGAUCUGAUAAAAUUCUGGGUAUGUAGAAAUAUAUGUUUAGGAAGAACAAUUCUGGGCAGAAGCAUACCGUGUCUGUGCAACAACUCUACAUGCAGAACUGGCUGAAUUAGCAUCGAAAAAUCACAAAAUCAACUCUGCAAAUUACAGUGACCCCGCAGAUAAGCUCGGUGUUAUACUUGUUGAGUCUGCUAUUGAUGAUCCUGAUCCAGGCAAAGGGACCAUUAUCAGUAGUCCUGACAACAAGUCCAUCAUUUGGUGUUUCGCAACACUGGUCAUAAUGUUCAGUACAAACGCAGGCGCUCACAUACACGCGCAUACACUCACCCCUAUGAACGCACACACGCACACCCUACCCCUAUGAGCACCUCCAGAAGACUGAGCCGGCGGAUUGGAUCUUGAAAUUGACGAAGUCACCACAGGCGCCUCGCUGUCGACGGGAACGUCGCCUCCCACUGAAUGAAUAUUCCGCCUUUAUGAGACACGCAGAUGUCAAACCUGGGGUUUGAACUCUGGUGGGCUGGGGGUACAACCACCCUCCUAACCACCCAACCUCAGGUGAUGGAGUAGCAGCCUAUAUCCAUUGCAAAGGCUGGAAUAAUUGUGUCUUCAAAUGCUAAAACAUUUGUCCUAGCACAUGCAAAUCCAUCCGAGUCAGACAGUAUCCACCUUCCUCCAAAACUAAUGUCAUCAGUGCGAAAAUAUGCAUCUUGAAGAAUAAAAUUGACGCUCGCCCCUGUCUUUUUGUUCACUUUUUAUUUAGGAUUUUCUCGAAUUAAUGAUUCUUCUCUCUACAGAUCCAAAAUUCUACAGAUUUUGGGGAUUCUAAAUUCCCGAUGUACCAAGUACAAUAGCAAUGAGUGACAUAGGUUGCUAAGAAAAUAUGGCGUGCCUUGCAAGUUCCUGAAAGAGGAUCUAUGUGGUACAUGUGGCUGUUCUCGCGAAUACAGAUUGAAGAAUUAAACUAUAUAGCUUGGAUUGGAGGGACAAUGUUUGUACGCUCAGAAGUACAUUGCUACCUUUGAUUUCCCCAGAUCUUAGCCAAAUCAGUAAACUUCAAUGCUAAGGAUUGAGGGUGACGAGUUACCAUUCUUCCUAAGCUAAACCAAACUGAGAGAGAUCUGAGGGGAAGAAAAAAAGAUGCACCUGAUUGAGACGGUGACCUGGUACAACAGCACGCGGUGUCGACACGCCGAUGAGGCCACUGUACCCGUUCCGCUGGCGCUGUCAAGCACCUCAACCAGCGUUGUUGUCCCAUAGGUGCUCUGCCUUUGGUUUCUGGUGGCAAGAGAACUGACACGUCGGUGUCAAGACCAUCAUGCAAGGAGCCACCACCUAUGGACAGCAGCAACGCCAUGGCUCUAGACAGCGCGGCCUUCAAUUCACCAUGAUAUUAAAAUGCGGAGCAAGCAUAUGGUGAAACAAUGGUGAUCGUCUAUUUGGUCGGUUGGAAGAGAGAUUGAGCUCAAGGAGAUGUGAAGAAUCACGAGAUGCCUGACCAUCGACGGAGGAAAGAAAAGGGGAUUGUAGAAGAAAGCAAGACACGAGCUAGACAGAGCCAAAGGGCUACAGAGGCAAGGAAAAAAGUUCUGCAUGUCUGGUGUGCGUGUGGCCCUGUGUGCGCGUCAGUGGUCUGGGCUGGGCCUGAUAGUAUAUUUGUUUAAUUCCAUAAAAAAGUUCCGUGGUCCUGAUUGCGUCAUGUUGAUUUGUGGCACAAUAUUCUUUCUUUUGUCAUUCAAUCACCAACGAGUAAAACAUACAUUGAAAUUGCAAUUCUCUUUUACCGAGGCAUCCUA